rnacentral:lncRNA from 1 species
GAGUUUCCAACUAUGGUGGUGUAACAGAGGACUGAUAACCUGAAUAGCUGAUUAACUGACCUACUUGCACAAUAUAAUUGUAUGUCCCAAAUAAAUUUAUAAUUUUGAACCAGUUAUCGAGGAGAACCUAGUUGGACUUUGCACAGCAGAUAUGACGUUAUUGCUGCUGUCAGCCUUGACCUCAGUUGUAAGUCUUGCACUAUGCGAUUAUCAGUGUGUGUGUAAUCAUCAUACACAGAGAGGAAUAUUUGGCUCACCAUCACUAAAUUCACCACCUCUAGGUUUCCUGUACAAAGACGAAUGUAAAGCGUACGUAUGGCAACCAAACUUGGACACACAGUGGGUGGCUGUACAGUUCUUCCACAUGAUUGCUUACAUUCAGACGGACAGUGCGGUAGAUGUCAUACAAUGUAAAGGAUCAGUUCCUGACGAAGACAGAGGCA